CUGCUGCCUUCCGUAGGAGUCUGGUCCGUGUCUCAGUACCAGUGUGGGGGACCUUCCUCUCAGAACCCCUACGCAUCGUCGCCUCGGUGGGCCGUUACCCCGCCGACUAGCUAAUGCGCCGCAUGCCCAUCCCCCGCCGGAAUCGCUUCCUUUGGCCGCAGACCCAUGCAGGUCCGCGGCGUUACGCGGUAUUAGUCGGGAUUUCUCCCGGUUAUCCCCUGCGGGGGGCAGGUCGCAUACGUGUUACUCACCCGUGCGCCGGUCGCCGG
rnacentral:rRNA from 1 species